AGCAGCCGCGGUAAUUCCAGCUCCAAUAGCGUAUAUUAAAGUUGUUGCAGUUAAAACGCUCGUAGUUGAAUUUCGGGAUUAGUACGUUGGUCGUGCCUUAGGUACGUACUGGUGUUACUGGUUCCUACCUUCUGACGAACCAUCAUGUCAUUAAUUUGGUGUGGCGGGGAAUCAGGACUGUUACUUUGAAAAAAUUAGAGUGUUUAAAGCAGGCUCGCGCUUGAAUACAUUAGCAUGGAAUAAUGAAAUAGGACGUUGACCCUAUUUUGUUGGUUUCUAGGAUUGACGUAAUGAUUAAUAGGGAUAGUUGGGGGCAUUAGUAUUCAAUUGUCAGAGGUGAAAUUCUUGGAUUUAUUGAAGACUAACUACUGCGAAAGCAUUUGCCAAGGAUGUUUUCAUUAAUCAAGAACGAAAGUUAGGGGAUCGAAGACGAUCAGAUACCGUCGUAGUCUUAACCAUAAACUAUGCCGACUAGGGAUCGGAUGAUGUUAAUUUUUUAAUGACUCAUUCGGCGCCUUACG
rnacentral:rRNA from 1 species